rnacentral:tRNA from 1 species
GGACCUGUAGCCUAGAGGAUAGGGCAACAGCCUCCUAAGCUGUAGGUCGGGGGUUCGAAUCCCCCCAGGUCCG